rnacentral:lncRNA from 1 species
AUAAAACGAGUUUAUUACUAUCUGUUUGGUGAAGAAAUGAAACGGUAGAAGCUGUGACAAACAGGAACCUGGUGGCAGGGUUUUUAUCGCUUUCUAAUCUUUACACUUGAGAGACUCACAUUUUAUCUGAGCAGCUCUCUUUUAUUUCACCAUGAAUGUUCUUAAAGUCCUGAACUUAUUCUACAAAAAGCACUGUCGUGUAUUUCUUGUUCCGACAUUGUUAGAGAGUUCACACAGACUCAACUUUUAUGCUCAAAUUAACACAUGAAUUUAUUACAUAGAAUGAAAUAGUACAAUCACAGAAUAAUCAUGAGAGAGGUGGUGGCCGAAUUCACCCGCUGGUUCUUCUGCAGAAAGUGUCAGGCUUGGGGCAGGCGGCGGACCCACAUGCACAGCGCAGAGGCAAGGUGACGAUUAACACAGGUUUUAUUUUAGAAAAGGGUGGAGGGAGUUCGCAGGAGGAGGGCCCGAAUCCCCCCCCUCGGCCGGACGUCGAAGCAGGGUGGGCGGAGGGAGGACAUCAGGAGGAGGGACAAAACAAAACCCCACAAUGGUCCAAACUGUCCCUUCCAGGAGGCCAAGGGGGCGCGGCGGUCGGCCACGGCAGAAGCAACGCCAUCGCCACCGCAGGAAACGGCGACCCCCGGGCAGGGAGUCACCCCCGGAACUAGACAGCCGAGGUGGCCGACGACGCAGGAGAAGCGGUCAGCGCCGGACCACCAGGAACCGAAGCGGUCAGCGCCGGACCACCAGGAACCGACGCAAAAAUACUUUUGUUUUUUACACAUUUACAACAAUGCACAAAAUAAAAAAUGCAACUAAAGGCUUCAUCCUGGACCCGAAGCAGGUGCGGCCGGGGCCGAGCCGCCAGGAACCGAUGCAGGUGCGGCCGGGGCCGAGCCGCCAGGAACCGAUGCAGGUUCUGUAGGCGCCAGACCACCAGGAGCGGAGACGGGCGUGGCCGGGACCGGGCCACCAGGAACUGCACCUGCACACAUUGGCCCAAAAAACACAGGGACCAGGACCACCCGACCACCUCCUCCGGGAGGGCGGCAGGAGACAGAGCUGGACCGACCUCCUCCGGGAGGGCGGCAGGAGACAGAGCUGGACCGACCCCCUCCGGGAGGCCGGCAGGAGACAGAGCUGGACCGACCCCCUCCGGGAGGCCGGCAGGGACUGCAGCAGGUGCUGCGGCAGGCGCUGCUGCAGGAGCGACCCCCUCCUGGAGGCCCGCAGGAGCUGCAGCGGGCGCGACCUCCUCCUGGAGGUCGGCGUGA